AGUAAAAGUCGUAACAAGGUCUCCGUAGGUGAACCUGCGGAGGGAUCAUUACACAAUAACAAGGCGGGCUGGACACCCCCCGCUGGGCACUGCUUCACGGCGUGCGCGGCGGGGCCGGCCCUGCUGAAUUAUUCACCCGUGUCUUUUGCGUACUUCUUGUUUCCUGGGUGGGCUCGCCCGCCCUCAGGACCAACCACAAACCUUUUGCAAUAGCAAUCAGCGUCAGUAACAACGUAAUUAAUUACAACUUUCAACAACGGAUCUCUUGGUUCUGGCAUCGAUGAAGAACGCAGCGAAAUGCGAUAAGUAAUGUGAAUUGCAGAAUUCAGUGAAUCAUCGAAUCUUUGAACGCACAUUGCGCCCCCUGGUAUUCCGGGGGGCAUGCCUGUUCGAGCGUCACUUCACCACUCAAGCCUCGCUUGGUAUUGGGCGUCGCGGGUCCCCCGCGCGCCUCAAAGUCUCCGGCUGAGCGGUUCGUCUCCCAGCGUUGUGGCAACUAUUUCGCAGUGGAGUUCGAGUCGUCGCGGCCGUUAAAUCUUUCAAAGGUUGACCUCGGAUCAGGUAGGGAUACCCGCUGAACUUAAGCAUAUCAAUAAGCGGAGGA
rnacentral:rRNA from 1 species